rnacentral:rRNA from 1 species
ACUCUGCAGCCCUGAACUCGCCCGAUCUCGUCUGAUCUUGGAAGCUAAGCAGGGCCGGGCCUGGUUAGUACUUGGAUGGGAGAAGUUAUGUUCAAAAGAGUC